GUUGGGUACUUAUAGCAAUUAGUAUCAAAAUGAUCUAAAAGAUAAGAAUUUUAUUUUGUGACACCUCAGUAGUCCCAUAUUAGAUAAUGUAGAGGAGCAUGCGAGGCUUAUAUGUAACAAGCAUAAGAGAAUUAAUAACUGGACUUAAGUAUUUGGGCUGAUGGUUUAGGCUCAACGAGUUAUUAGUGCUAGUGGGCUGGUAGUCACAGUUCAUAUCAAACCCAAAUACUAGUUAACAGUAUGAGAGCUAAGUGUUAUACGGAACAAAUUGCCACAAUACUGUUUGGAGGGAGCUACCUCUUGUAGUUGUAGGAGCCACCUCUAGAAUCUUACAUCGCCUAAUAAUUCUGAUCUAUAUGAGUAGGAAUGGGCUUGAUAAAGACGUCAGGAUAUAAAUGAGAUGAGUCUGUAAUGCCCCAAUAAUCCUACAUUGGAUGGAAAAGAGAAUAUGAUUAAGAAUAUAGAGUUGGACUGGACUACUAUUAGUAGUAAAAUUCCAUUGUUGCUAUCAGUUUUUUAGCCUUUGGAUCAACUCUUUUCAUUAUUUCUAACCAUUGAAUUAAAUACUAUAACCCAGUGGGGACCACUCAACCCUAGGAGGACCACUUAACUCUAACUGACUAAUAUCAUCCUGAUCCUACAAUUUUUCAUUCAAGGGUUAAAAAUUUGAUAGCAAAAAGAGCGUUUUACUAUUAAUAGUAUUCCAGCCUAAUUCAAGAAUAUAAUGGAUCAAGUAUCCUAGUAAUAAUAAAUAUUAGGCCUAAGUAUUUUGGCUAGUAGUUUGGGUGCACUCAAUGAGUUAUUAGUGCUAGUGGGUUGGAAUGUUACAGUUGAUAUCAGAGUCGGUUCACCAGUUAAAAGUGUCAACAUAUCGUUUAGUGAUCUUGG
rnacentral:lncRNA from 1 species